rnacentral:rRNA from 1 species
UACGAAGGGGGCUAGCGUUGCUCGGAAUUACUGGGCGUAAAGCGCACGUAGGCGGCUUCUUAAGUCGGUGGUGAAAUCCUGGAGCUCAACUCCAGAACUGCCUUUGAUACUGAGGAUCUUGAGUAUGGGAGAGGUGAGUGGAACUGCGAGUGUAGAGGUGAAAUUCGUAGAUAUUCGGAAGAACACCAGUGGCGAAGGCGACUUACUGGACACAUAUUGACGCUGAGGUGCGAAAGCGUGGGGAGCAAACAGG